UGCGUAGGCGGCUGGGUAAGUCGCGUGUGAAAGCCCGGGGCUCAACCCCGGAGCUGCAUGCGAGACUGCCCGGCUCGAGCGCGGUAGAGGCGGGCGGAAUUCCUGGUGUAGCGGUGGAAUGCGUAGAGAUCAGGAAGAACACCGGUGGCGAAGGCGGCUCGCUGGGCCGUUGCUGACGCUGAGGCACGAAAGCGUGGGGAGCAAACAGGAUUAGGAUACCCUGGUAGUCCACGCCCUAAACGAUGGACACUAGGCGUCGGGGGGAGCGACCCUCCGGUGCCGUCGCUAACGCAAUAAGUGUCCCGCCUGGGGAGUACGGCCGCAAGGCUGAA
rnacentral:rRNA from 1 species